rnacentral:misc_RNA from 1 species
GAUGAAGAACGUAGCGAAAUGUGAUACUUGGUGUGAAUUGCAGAAUCCCGUGAACCAUCGAGUUUUUGAACGCAAGUUGCGCCCGAAGCCGUUAGGCCGAGGGCACGCCUGCCUGGGUGUCACACAUCGUUGCCCCAAUGCCAAUCGCCUCACUUUGUAGGUAUUUGCUUGGGGUGAAUGUUGGCCUCCCGUGAGCUUUGUCUCACGGUUGGUUGAAAAUCGAGUGCAUGGUGUCGGGUGUACCAUGAUGGAUGGUGGUUGAGUGAUGAUGCUCGCGACCAAUCAUGGGUAACUCCACCAGAAUUGGGCUCGGUGACCCACAUGCGUCCCUUGGAUGCUCCCUAAGGAGACCUCAGGUCAAGCGGGGCUACCCGCUGAGUUUAAGCAUAUCAAUAAGCGGAGGA